UGAAAACAAUCAAGGCAAUGAUGAGGAAAAAUAAUGUAUUUGUACUAGCGAAAAUGUAUCUGAAUUACAUUUGAAAUUGACAACAAGUCUACAAUCAUUUUAGGUCAUUUUUGAUUAGAAAAAAAGAAACCAGCCUAGUAUUAGCAUUGGGUCCCACAUGUAUGAAUGUGUAAACAUGACUCCUCCUUUGAACUGCAUGCCUAUGGCAACGCUAAGCUAAAGAGGUCAAAGUUGUCAGUGUAUUUAUUCCAUGCGUGGACGGCAACCAAACCAAAGGAACAAGGAUGCCAGCAGAUUGUGUUGCAUAUUCUUGCAAACAAUGCUGUACAAUCACAACAAGGGAUCAAGAAUAAAUAACAUUUCAUAGAAGCACUUAGGCGGUGAGACAGCCAGGAGGACAGCCGCAACAUCUGGCGCCGCCGCUGAUGUCAAAAAGCCGAUGAAGGGAUCACACCUUCUUACCUCCAAAGCAGCAGAGGGCUUCUUCUUCAGUUCCUCACAUUUUCGAAACUUGCAGAUCUGAUGGCCCGUCUUGCGAUUCCGG